UUCACAUAUAAGAGAGGAUUUACUGUGAGAAUUACGAAGGAAUAAAUUGGAAGAUAAUUCGUGUUUCUUACGAGUCCUGAAAUGUUCAAAUUUGAAAUUUGAGGUGAAAGAAGGACCGGUGGGCGCUGUGGAGGGGGUUGGAGUUUUCGAAUAAGAGGAGGUGGAGAUAGAGUUCGCAGACAAGGUUAAGAGGAGUUUGAGGUUCAGGGGGAGGAUGGGAUUGGAGGAGGUGGAGGAAGGUGGAGGCGAGGUUUUUGGCGUGGGAGAGUUGGGAGAGGGUGGAGGAGAGAGAAGUGAAGUGGAGGAGGGAGGAGUGGAAGGGGGAGAAAAGAGGGUCGGAGAGGAGGAGGGAAAACCACGGCGGUGUAGGUGUAGCGGUGGCGAUGCUGCAAGGCGUGCCACUUCGCCGACCAUAUGUUUGAUGAAAUAAAUGCCUCUCACAGACACAAAGACAGUGUUACUUUAUAGUCUUCGAAUAGAAAUGAAGGUGGCGACGCGUAGAUGUUCGACGAAAUUCCUCACACAGACAGCGAAUGUGUGAGUGUUAGAGUUUUGAGUGUUUAGAGGGGAAUGAGGUGCCGCUGUGAUGUUCGAUGAAAUGCCUCACUCAAAUGAAGAGUGAGCGCUGGGUUUUGGUGCAUGGAUAGGAAGGAGAGGAGGCGCCGCACUAGGGUACGGUUUUUUAAUUAGGAUUGGUUAAAUUUUUUUGAAAUCUUUUCUGCCGGUGGUCAUCCAUAUUUCAUGAAUUGAUAACUUAAUAUUUGAAUGAAAUGAACUAACGUGGCAAAUUAGUAAUUA